GUGGAUUGUCGGUUUAUACUCAAUCGAAGAUUCACUCGUUUGUUCAAAUAUCGUGAGUCUCGGUGACUGACUCGAGGAUAUCUUGUUGCCCCUGGAGCCUGGUGAUUGAUAAAUACCGGGGGUUGGUGAUGAAGCAGCGAGGCUGUUGUACAUCAUGAAAUCUCUUCUCCUCAUCGUAAUUCUCGUAGAACUGAUAAUUAUUUGCCAGUGGCUGAUAUGCUUGGAGUGUAUGCUGAGAUCGUGUGAACUCGGGUAAGCCACGAUGAUCCGACGGACUGCUGAGAUCCAUAAGAUUGUUUGGUGAAUAACGUUCGUAAUGAUUCGGUGAAUUGCUUGCUGAGCUGCCAGCACUAUGAGGAAUUCCAGAGCUAUCAGCAAGAACGUAGAGAUUCUGAACGGCUAGUUGGCCAGAGCUUACUUGCUGUGCUUGCAUCAUGCCGAUGAUGGGACAUCCAUCGACUUGACAGAGUGAUGCUCCAUCCAGCCGAACCCGCCUCUUUGCCACGAUGUCUUAGGCCCCACCCCGGCAUUUUCUUUUCUUUCCGUUUACUGUCAGCGCGUCUCCACCCACGCACGCCAGUGUGGAGCCUCAGGGCGAGAUGAAACGGCCAACAAGAUGCUUCCAUCAACAACGGGAGAAGGGGAGAUAGCAUUGGAUUGUGUUAUGGAAUCGAGGUUUUUUUGCUAUCAAUUUUUUGGCGAAUUUUUCAACAAGUACGAAACACCCUUUUCUUUUAUGAAAAUCUCUCACGAGGGAAUAAAAAAUGGGGAUUAUUGGAUAAUUUAGGGGUUCAGUUAAGGGUAAUCCAAUAUAUUUUCAUAUCAGACUGAACGAUUCACUAAAAUUGAACGGAAAUGGGAAUUUUCGUGUUUAAGAGGAGAAAAGAAAAAUUGUCAACUGUGACGUGAUAAAACUCACACAUUGUUGCUUAUAAUAUUGAUCUUAAUCGAUGGAUCUAAGGUGGUCUAAGAUGUCAAUUUGAAGAUCUCGAUGGGAUCUUGAAUCUGAUAUAUGGUAUAUUCCCACUGGUUGAAUCUACAAUCUCAAUAAUUGGCAAAAACUAUCAUUUUUCAAUUGUGAUAUAACGUAACAAAUGGAAAUAACGUACAAUAACUCGACGGAAAUCCAAUGAAAGUGGAUUUAUCGUACACCAUUUUGCAGAACUAUUAACACACUUCAAAAUGGUCUAUAGAUAGAUUUCCCCCACGUAUGGGUUUUACAUCUUAUACAACAGCGGUUUGAGUCCUAGUUUGCUAAUACAUACUUUAUACAUCUGUCACACUAUUUUUAAAAAAAACUAUCCACUGAUGCAUAAUUUUUCGAGAACGUAUUGUAUAGAAGACGAACAGUAAGCGAUUGCAAUAGAGAUAAAUCCUUUCAAUAUUCCAUUUCUCGAUCACUAGGGAACCAUCUCCGUAAGGUUUUCCGUCCUCGACUGAGAUUUAGUUCUAUCGUAUCUCGUAACUUAUCCUGUAACAUGACUUGAUCACAAUUUCAGAUGUUUUCAGAGGCCUCUGGCUGCCAUACCUGCCCUCCCCCGCUGCUUAUCAUGUUUGGUGAACCCUCUGAUAUAGUUGUGCAUUGCCACCUCGGGUGGCCAAAUGGUCUGCAGAUAUAUUUGCAGAGAUUAAGUAGAACUUCGAAGAAUUAUGUCAAAGUGACUGUGUCCAGCGAAACCUGAAAAUUAAUUUUUUGCUUAAGACUCUCAUCUCUCUUAUAUUUAUUAUAUUAUAAUAUUUAAUUUUUUGAAAAAGGUAUAUUAUGUGGAUAUUAUAUGGUACACGAAGAGAAAAAUUCUUUGAAAAUUGCGUACCUCAUCGGUAAUUUGCCAGCAAAAAUAAUAUUCGGUAAAAAUUACGGAGUAGUUAGACAUUUUUUCAAUGAACUUUCAGAAAAAGUUCAGUUCAAGUUCAUUCAGGGAAAAAAUGUGUAUCUGUUCCGUAAUUUUGAUUGAAUACUAUUUUGUCUGACAGAGUAGGAAACAAAUACAUAAUUUUGAACGAAUUUUUCUGUCCGUGAACCAAAGCAAAAUAUCACGAUGACACAAAACGUUAGAUGAGUUUUUUAAUGAAGGAUUGGAAUUCAUCAAUUUUUAUAAUUUUUCAUUUCAAUGGAAAAUUAAUCAUAAUAUCAGUGGCUGUGAAUAAUGUCUAUAAAUAAUGAAUAAUAAAGUUUGCAUUGAGUCGGGUAAUGAAAUUAAUCGGGAUAUUCGGUAUAAUGAGAAUUUUCACUUUGAUCAGUCCAAUAAUAAUGAUUGUUAUUUAUGAUCUAUGGUAGAACCAGAUUGAGAACUUGAUAUUGGAGUUCAGCCAACUCCCUUUUACCCGUCAUCAUCCUAUCAACUCGUCUGGGAAUCAACAACUUCAACUUUCUUUAUUUAUAGAAAUAUUUUUCUCGUCAAGUCAAUAAUAAAAUAUUUGGGGAAAAAUUUUUGUUCUCUUCGAAAUUCAGGUAUAUUUCGGCAAGAUGGUCCCCAGUGAGGAUGAAUGAACCACCAGCAAGGCAAUUAUUACCUGGGCGGGAAGUGGAUGUAAUAAAAGGCCGGCAUUGUCGUUGUCAAUACUCUCAAAACCGUGGGGGAAUUCCCAGAAAUUCAAUGGCACCAAACGCAGUGGAUUAGUGGAUAAAUCCAAAGACAUUUAAUUAAUAAAUAAGAAAAAAGCUAAAUCGCAGAAAAAAAUGGAGCUUUUUGCAAUGAGAACAGACAGGUUUGGCAUAGGUUCCAAGAUCCUCAGCCAAUUUUGCAUUGGAUUCGCAGGCAAAUCUAAUGAAAUUCAAUCGAUCAACGAAAACGGAAGAAAUUCCCAGACAAAAAAAACGCCGCUCUUUGCAAUGAGAACUGCAAGGUUUGGCAAGAUCUCCAAAAUCCUGAGAAAAUUUUCACCAUGUGUUGAACACACGGUAGCCAGGGGGUCCUCCAUAGGUACAGCAAGAUUGUUAUGUCCUCGGCCAAUCCGCAUCGUCUUCAACUGCGUCUGCCACUUGUGAGGCAGGACAUUAUUUGCCACUUUCCAACAUGUGUCGCUCACCAGCAACUUUUAUGUGUUUACAGCACCCACCCAAAAUUUUCAUUUACAACCGUUUCAACUUUAGCACAUGUGUUCGGAAAAAAUAUUUUCAGUCCAACAUUUUGCUUCAGAAAGGUAAAAAAAAGUUUAAAUAACAUAUACUCAAAAACGAUAAAUUUUCGAAUUAAAUUGCUGAUUUCUUCGAUUGGUUCGCCUAAGGGCUGAUGAUUAAUUGUUUCAUAAAAUUUUAUACAUAUUUUGUAUUAAAAAAUAAUGAUUUUCAGGCGUCAAGGGAUAAGUGAGAAGAGUAACCUAUGGUUUUCAAUGCCAAUAUUUUUCCAAGUCAUCUAUUCUUUUCCUCCCUCAGCGAUUAUCACAUUUGACUUUUGGUGCGAACCGGAUUAACAACUGGAUUUUCCAAAAUUUUCUAAGCUGCUACCGUUGGUUCACGUGGAGCAGUUGACAACUCAUAUAUUUGAGUUGAGGAUAAGCUGGGAUUGACAAAGUCUCUCCGUGGGUUUAUUUUUUCUUUUGUUUUUCGUCCGAGAGUGUUGAUCAGCAUAUGCUCCAAGCAAAAUGUCUUUUUUCCCAGAAAAAAAAAGUUUUUUCUGUUUUCCCUUUAAAAAAAGCAUGUAACGUUUUCUGUCAGCUCUCUUGG